rnacentral:rRNA from 1 species
GAUCAUGGCUCAGGAUGAACGCUAGCUACAGGCUUAACACAUGCAAGUCGAGGGGCAGCAUGAACUUAGCUUGCUAAGUUUGAUGGCGACCGGCGCACGGGUGAGUAACACGUAUCCAACCUGCCGAUGACUCGGGGGAUAGCCUUUCGAAAGAAAGAUUAAUACCCCGAUGGCAUAGUUCUUCCGCAUGGUAGAACUAUUAAAGAAUUUCGGUCAUCGAUGGGGAUGCGUUCCAUUAGG